GCCAUGCUAGUCGCACGGGUUUAGACCCGUGGCAAAUAGCUCAGUAACACGUGGCCAAACUACCCUGUGGACAGGGAUAACCUCGGGAAACUGAGGCUAAUCCCCGAUACAGCUCUCAUGCUGGAGUGCAGAGAGCUGGAAACGUUCUGGCGCCACAGGAUGUGGCUGCGGCCGAUUAGGUAGACGGUGGGGUAACGGCCCACCGUGCCUAUAAUCGGUACGGGUCAUGAGAGUGAGAACCCGGAGACGGUAUCUGAGACAAGAUACCGGGCCCUACGGGGCGCAGCAGGCGCGAAACCUUUACACUGCACGACAGUGCGAUAAGGGGACUCCGAGUGCGAGGGCAUACAGUCCUCGCUUUUCUGCACCGUAAGGUGGUACAGGAACAAGUGCUGGGCAAGACCGGUGCCAGCCGCCGCGGUAAUACCGGCAGCACGAGUGAUGGCCGAUUUUAUUGGGCCUAAAGCGACCGUAGCCGGCCAGACAAGUCCGUUGGGAAAUCGACGUGCCUAACACGUCGGCGUCCAGCGGAAACUGUCUGGCUUGGGGCCGGAAGACUCGAGGGGUACGUCCGGGGUAGGAGUGAAAUCCUGUAAUCCUGGACGGACCGCCGGUGGCGAAAGCGCCUCGAGAGGACGGACCCGACGGUCAGGGACGAAAGCUAGGGUCUCGAGCCGGAUUAGAUACCCGGGUAGUCCUAGCCGUAAACGAUGCUCGCUAGGUGUGGCGCAGGCU
rnacentral:rRNA from 1 species